AAUGAACGCUGGCGGCAGGCCUAACACAUGCAAGUCGAACGGAUCCUUCGGGAUUAGCGGCGGACGGGUGAGUAACGCGUGGGAACAUACCCUUUGGUACGGAAUAGCCUCGGGAAACUGGGAGUAAUACCGUACGUGGUCGAGAGACGAAAGAUUUAUCGCCAAAGGAUUGGCCCGCGUUGGAUUAGGUAGUUGGUGGGGUAAUGGCCUACCAAGCCGACGAUCCAUAGCUGGUUUGAGAGGAUGAUCAGCCACACUGGGACGGAGACACGGCCCAGACUCCUACGGGAGGCAGCAGUGGGGAAUCUUAGACAAUGGGGGAAACCCUGAUCUAGCCAUGCCGCGUGAUCGAUGAAGGCCUUAGGGUUGUAAAGAUCUUUCAGGUGGGAAGAUAAUGACUGUACCACCAGAAGAAGCCCCGGCUAACUCCGUGCCAGCCGCCGCAGUAACAC
rnacentral:rRNA from 1 species